rnacentral:rRNA from 1 species
UACGGGGGGGGCAAGCGUUGUUCGGAAUUACUGGGCGUAAAGGGUUCGUAGGUGGCCUGCUAAGUCAGACGUGAAAUCCCUCAGCUUAACUGGGGAACUGCGUCUGAGACUGGUGGGCUUGAGUGCAGGAGAGGAACGCGGAAUUCCAGGUGUAGCGGUGAAAUGCGUAGAUAUCUGGAGGAACACCGGUGGCGAAAGCGGCUCACUGGACCGAAUCUGACACUGAGGUGCGAAAGCUAGGGUAGCAAACGGG